rnacentral:rRNA from 1 species
UAGAAAGGCCUAAAUACCCUCAAGGCACUAGAUCCUGUCUGACCUUGGAAGCUAAGCAGGGUCAGCUCUAGCUAAUACUUGGAUGGGAGACCACCAAUGAAUACUAGGUGUUUGUAA